AUAAUGGCAAUGACGGAACAAAGUAAGCGUCGAUCCCACGGCAAAGAGAGCUCGCGGCAGGUGAAAGCGAGAGCGUGGCGGCUGCUGAAAAUACAGUCCCGAGCCGCUGUUCUGAACCAGUUUUUUCAGUAGGAACAGCCGUCCGGCAGGCGUUACUCUGCCAGGGCAUGAAAGUGCCCCUAAGGUCACGGACCGCAAGGACGUGAUAAAUUGAGGUGGUACCGCGGUAAAGUCAUUUAUCGCCCUCUGC
rnacentral:ncRNA from 1 species